rnacentral:rRNA from 1 species
UGAAUACGAGACGCUAAGGCGUCGAAGUAGUGUAUGUCAUACUUCCAAGAAAAGCUUGCACUGUCAUAGAUAAAAAACGCCUGUACCAUAACCGACACAGGUGGGUAGGUAGAGUAUACUAAGGGGCGCGAGAUAACUCUCUCUAAGGAACUCGGCAAAAUAACUCCGUAACUUCGGGAGAAGGAGUGCCUUAUUCGUAAGGUUGCAAUAACAAGAUCCAAGCAACUGUUUAUCAAAAACACAGGUCUCCGCUAAGUCGUAAGACGAUGUAUGGGGGCUGACGCCUGCCCAGUGCCAGAAGGUUUAAGAAGUUGGUUAGCAAUUGCGAAGCUGAUAACUGAAGCCCUGGUGAACGGCGGCCGUAACUAUAACGGUCCUAAGGUAGCGAAAUUCCUUGUCGGGUAAGUUCCGACCCGCACGAAAGGCGUAAUGAUUUGGAUUCUGUCUCGGAGAGGGGCUCGGUGAAAUAGACUUGUCUGUGAAGAUGCGGACUACCUGCACCAGGACAGAAAGACCCUAUGAAGCUUUACUGUAACUUGAAAUUGAAAUUGGACUUUAUUCGCGCAGUAUAGGUGGGAGGCGUUGAUUAUAAUCUUGUGGGAUUAUUGGAGCCAUCAGUGAGAUACCACUCUUGUAAUGUUAGAUUUCUAACUUUGAAUCAUUAUCUGGUCAAAGAACAGUUUCAGGCGGGCAGUUUGACUGGGGCGGUCGCCUCCUAAACGGUAACGGAGGCGUACAAAGGUUUCCUCUGAACGGUUAGAAAUCGUAUCUAGAGUGUAAAGGCAUAAGGAAGCUUGACUGUGAGACCUACAAGUCGAGCAGGGACGAAAGUCGGUCUUAGUGAUCUGACGGUACUGAGUGGAAAGGCCGUCACUCAACGGAUAAAAGUUACUCUAGGAUAACAGGCUGAUCUCCCCCAAGAGUUCACAUCGACGGGGAGGUUUGGCACCUCGAUGUCGGCUCAUCGCAUCCUGGGGCGGUAGUACGUCCCAAGGGUUGGGCUGUUCGCCCAUGAAAGCGGUACGCGAGCUGGGUUCAGAACGUCGUGAGACAGUUCGGUCCAUAUCCGGUGUAGGCGUUAGAAUAUUGAGAGGAGCCUUCUUUAGUACGAGAGGACCGAGAAGGACAUACCUCUGGUGUACCAGUUAUCGUGCCAACGGUAAACGCUGGGUAGCUAUGUAUGGAGUGGAUAACCGCUGAAAGCAUCUAAGUGGGAAGCCCACCUCAAGAUAAGC